rnacentral:rRNA from 1 species
AGUGAACGCUGGCGGUAGGCCUAACACAUGCAAGUCGAACGGCAGCACAGUAAGAGCUUGCUCUUACGGGUGGCGAGUGGCGGACGGGUGAGGAAUACAUCGGAAUCUACUUUUUCGUGGGGGAUAACGUAGGGAAACUUACGCUAAUACCGCAUACGACCUACGGGUGAAAGCAGGGGAUCUUCGGACCUUGCGCGAUUGAAUGAGCCGAUGUCGGAUUAGCUAGUUGGCGGGGUAAUGGCCCACCAAGGCGACGAUCCGUAGCUGGUCUGAGAGGAUGAUCAGCCACACUGGAACUGAGACACGGUCCAGACUCCUACGGGAGGCAGCAGUGGGGAAUAUUGGACAAUGGGCGCAAGCCUGAUCCAGCCAUACCGCGUGGGUGAAGAAGGCCUUCGGGUUGUAAAGCCCUUUUGUUGGGAAAGAAAAGCAGCAGGUUAAUACCCCGCUGUUCUGACGGUACCCAAAGAAUAAGCACCGGCUAGCUUCGUG